rnacentral:rRNA from 1 species
UCUGAAUCUGCGAACGGCUCCGCAAACCAGUUGUAAACCAUAGCAAGCACGCCCUGGGUCGGCCGCAAGGCUGGUCCGGGGCUAUAGGGAUAACCCUGGUAAUUCUGAGGCUAAUACAUGAACGUAACCCCCGGCUGAAGGGUAACUGGACGUCGGGGACCGUGCGAGUAGGCGCAAAGUUUAUUGGGAAUAGUCGCACAGUACGACCGCCAUACCAAACAGUAGCCGCUACGUCCCCUCACGGGGGCCGGUGGUGUCUGGGCGGCUCUUGCAAGGUGCUUCUGACCUAUCAACUAGAUGGCAGCGUAAUGGACAUGCUAUGGU